rnacentral:rRNA from 1 species
AGCGAACGCUGGCGGCAGGCUUAACACAUGCAAGUCGAGCGGGCACUUCGGUGUCAGCGGCAGACGGGUGAGUAACACGUGGGAACGUACCCUUUGGUUCGGAAUAACGCUGGGAAACUAGCGCUAAUACCGGAUACGCCCUUUUGGGGAAAGGCUUGCUGCCGAAGGAUCGGCCCGCGUCUGAUUAGCUAGUUGGUGGGGUAAUGGCCUACCAAGGCGACGAUCAGUAGCUGGUCCGAGAGGAUGAUCAGCCACACUGGGACUGAGACACGGCCCAGACUCCUACGGGAGGCAGCAGUGGGGAAUAUUGGACAAUGGGCGCAAGCCUGAUCCAGCCAUGCCGCGUGAGUGAUGAAGGCCUUAGGGUUGUAAAGCUCUUUUGUCCGGGACGAUAAUGACGGUACCGGAAGAAUAAGCCCCGGCUAACUUCGUG